rnacentral:rRNA from 1 species
UACGUAGGGUGCGAGCGUUGUCCGGAAUUAUUGGGCGUAAAGAGCUCGUAGGCGGUCUGUCGCGUCGAUCGUGAAAACUUGGGGCUUAACCCUGAGCUUGCGGUCGAUACGGGCAUGACUGGAGUUCGGCAGGGGAGACUGGAAUUCCUGGUGUAGCGGUGAAAUGCGCAGAUAUCAGGAGGAACACCGGUGGCGAAGGCGGAUCUCUGGGCCGAUACUGACGCUGAGGAGCGAAAGCGUGGGGAGCGAACAGG